rnacentral:rRNA from 1 species
UACGGGGGGGGCAAGCGUUGUUCGGAAUUACUGGGCGUAAAGGGCUCGUAGGUGGCCAACUAAGUCAGACGUGAAAUCCCUCGGCUUAACCGGGGAACUGCGUCUGAUACUGGAUGGCUAGAGUUUGGGAGAGGGAUGCGGAAUUCCAGGUGUAGCGGUGAAAUGCGUAGAUAUCGGGAGGAACACCAGUGGCGAAGGCAAUCCCCUGGGCCUGUACUGACGCUCAUGCACGAAAGCGUGGGGAGCAAACAGG